AUCUAGAAGCAAUGGGAAAAUGAAUAAAUCCAUCUGAGAGUUCAGUUAUCAAGCACUGUGAUUAUUCAGGUGGAAAACACAACUGGAGUCCAACGACGCUCGUCCCUCCAAAGAUGUCUACAGUCUUUUGCACAUGCCUCUGUUUAAAACUGAAAAAUGGCAUCAGAAUGGAGCACAUUUAUCACCUAAAUUAUAAUUGACAUAUAUGAAGAUAUGCUUACAUAUAUAUCUGGUUCUUAGUUUGGUGAUCUCUUAUGGAUCUUUUGGUGAACUCUUAUGGAUAUCUUGAUCCAUAACAGAUCAAAACUCAAUAAAUAAAUAGUGAGAAUGA
rnacentral:lncRNA from 1 species